rnacentral:rRNA from 1 species
GAGUUUGAUUCUGGCUCACGAUUCAACGUUGGCGGCGCGCUUAAUGCAUGCAAGUCGAACGAGAACUGCUGAGUUCGUAAGAACUCGGCAGGGACAGUGGCGAACGGGUGCGUAACACGUGAGGAACCUGCCCUGGAGACCGGGAUAGCCCGAGGAAACUCGGAUUAAUACCGGAUACCUUCUCGGGGUCGCAUGACCCCUUGAAGAAAGGUCCGCUGCUCCAGGAUGGCCUCGCGGCCUAUCAGCUUGUUGGUGAGGUGACGGCUCACCAAGGCAGCGACGGGUAGCUGGUCUGAGAGGACGAUCAGCCACACUGGGACUGAGACACGGCCCAGACUCCUACGGGAGGCAGCAGCAGGGAAUAUUGCACAAAUGGGCGAAAGCCUGAUGCAGCGACGCCGCGUGCGGGAUGAAGGCCUUCGGGUUGUAAACCGCUUUCAGGAGGGACGAAAAUGACGG